rnacentral:lncRNA from 1 species
GAGACUGUAGAUUUGGUUUAGUAAGGGUGGAUUUCCAUACAGAUUAGAGACUGUGUUGAAAUAGAUACUGUAUACUCCUUAUGUGGUCGUAACUCUUAACUCGUCACAGUGGAUAGAGUUGUAUCUCUUGCUCAAAAAAGUCAAGUGGACAUGUAAGCGUACAGGAGUUUGAAUAGUUUUCAACAGACUUGUGGAUUAUGGGGAAUUUUGGUGAGUAAAGGGUCUCUGGAAAAGUUGGAGUUUCUCUCGAAUAAUCCCUGGAUUAAGUUUGUACCUGCAUUGUAUUGAGGAAACAUGAGAGUUCUAUUAUAAAUUAUAUAACCUGAGUCUUGUUCGUCUCUUCUUCAAAUUAGAUAUGCAUAUGGCCAACAUAUAUGAGGUUUUGACGGUUUCUGUUGUGCAAAUGAAAACCAUCCAAGUUAUAUACCUCUUAAGCCUUGUUGUCCCACGUUUUACUCUUUGUCUCUUAUCAUCUACAUUCUACUUGCAGGCCAUAUCAGCUUAUACUUUCCAGGAUCACGAGCUAUCUUCACCGGGGACACUUUGUUUAGCUUAUCAUGUGGUAAACUCUUUGAAGGUACUCCUAAGC